rnacentral:rRNA from 1 species
AUUGAACGCUGGCGGCAUGCUUUACACAUGCAAGUCGAACGGUAACAGGCCUUCGGGCGCUGACGAGUGGCGAACGGGUGAGUAAUGCAUCGGAACGUGCCCAGUCGUGGGGGAUAACGCAGCGAAAGCUGUGCUAAUACCGCAUACGAUCUGUGGAUGAAAGCGGGGGACCUUCGGGCCUCGCGCGAUUGGAGCGGCCGAUGUCAGAUUAGGUAGUUGGUGGGGUACAGGCCCACCAAGCCAACGAUCUGUAGCUGGCCUGAGAGGACGAACAGCCACACUGGGACUGGGUCACAGCCCAGACUCCUACGGGAGGCAGUAGUGGGGAAUGUUGGACAAUGGGCGCAAGCCUGAUCCAGCAAUGCCGCGUGCAGGAAGAAGGCCUUCGGGUUGUAAACUGCUUUUGUCAGGGAAGAAAUCCUCUAGGUUAAUACCCUUGGGGGGAUGACGGUACCUGAAGAAUAAGCACCGGCUAACUACGUGCCAGCAGCCGCCGCCGUAA